AUAAUGCAGCAACUGCUCCACCUUCACCCCGCCUGUCUUGAGUCGGCUGAAGCAGCGGUUCUCAAGCCUUACGCAGUUUGCUGAUGACCACUCCGAAUUGAGCGGAGAUUCAGACGGAGGCGGGUACUGGACAACCUACGGGCUGAAGAACCAUUUGCCCAUGAAACCUGCUCUAUUGAUGUUUUAUUCCCUGUGCUCUGAAGCCCUAGAGGCAACAAGAAUGUUUGGAAG